AAGGUAGCAUAAUCAUUUGUUUUUUAAUUAAAAACCGGAAUGAAAGGUUAAACAAAGAUAUUAUUUUUAAAUUAACAAAAUACAAUUUAAAAUUUGGUUUAAAAUUACCAAAUAAAAUAAGGGGACGAUAAGACCCUAGAAGCUUUAUUGUUUAAUUAAAUAAGUUUUUGUUUUAAAAUCUAAUUGAGAUAACUUUUUGGCUGGGGUAGUAGUUUUAAUAAACUAAAAUUUUUUAAGACGUUUGCGGUAAUAAGGUCCUAUUAUAUGGAUAAAUGGUUUAAGUUACUCUAGGGAUAACAGCAUAAUAGAAGUGAAGAGACCAUAUUUAUACUUCUGAUUGUGACCUCGAUGUUGAAUUAAAAAAUCAAUAUAAAGCAAAAAUUAUAUAUGAGAGUUUGUUCAACUUUUAAAAUUUUACAUGAUCUGAGUUCAAACCGG
rnacentral:rRNA from 1 species